UUUUUUUAGUUAAUAUAAAAUAUGGCCUGCCCAGUGAAUAUUUAACGGCUGCAGUAUUUUAACUGUACUAAGGUAGCAUAAUCAUUUGUUUUUUAAUUGAAAGCUGGUAUGAACGGUUUUACAAAUAAUUUGUUUAAUAGAUUAAUCAUAGUAAGUUAUAUUUUGUAUAAAAAUAUAUAAAUGUAAUAAAGGGACGAUAAGACCCUAAAAGCUUUUUUGACUUGGGCUUUGUUUAUAAUUAGAGCUCUAUCAAGUUUAGUUGGGGUAACGUAAAUAUAAAUAUUAUUUUAUUUUUUAUACAUUGUUAUAUGGUUAAUAGGUCUUUUUUAUUAAGAUAAAUAGUAAUAGUUACUUUAGGGAUAACAGCGUAAUAAUUUUAGAGAGGCCUUAUUAAUAAAAUUGAUUACGACCUCGAUGUUGAAUUAAAAGAUCUAUUUAUUGUAGCAGGUAGAUGAGAGGGUUUGUUCAACCUUUAAUUUUUUACAUGAUUUGAGUUCAAAUCGGUUUAAG
rnacentral:rRNA from 2 species